rnacentral:rRNA from 1 species
AGUGAACGCUGGCGGUAGGCCUAACACAUGCAAGUCGAACGGCAGCACAGUAAGAGCUUGCUCUUACGGGUGGCGAGUGGCGGACGGGUGAGGAAUACAUCGGAAUCUACUUUUUCGUGGGGGAUAACGUAGGGAAACUUACGCUAAUACCGCAUACGACCUACGGGUGAAAGCAGGGGAUCUUCGGACCUUGCGCGAUUGAAUGAGCCGAUGUCGGAUUAGCUAGUUGGCGGGGUAAAGGCCCACCAAGGCGACGAUCCGUAGCUGGUCUGAGGGGAUGAUCAGCCACACUGGAACUGAGACACGGUCCAGACUCCUACGGGAGGCAGCAGUGGGGAAUAUUGGACAAUGGGCGCAAGCCUGAUCCAGCCAUACCGCGUGGGUGAAGAAGGCCUUCGGGUUGUAAAGCCCUUUUGUUGGGAAAGAAAAGCAGCAGGUUAAUACCCCGCUGUUCUGACGGUACCAAAAGAAUAAGCACCGGCUAACUUCGUG